UUGGUUUUUUUUAUAGCCUAUUGAAUUUAGAGAUUAAAUACUUUAAAUUCGGACGAGCAGGGCGAGGGAGAAUUUAAAUAUAUUUUAGUUCGUUUGAAAUUGGUGUUUUCCCGUUUGCUUUUAGUGGUAAUUAUUUAUAGAUGGGAACUAGUAUAACUAGUUCUGCAACAGUAUGUACUAUUUAUAGAGUUUGAUGUCGGGUGUAUAAUG
rnacentral:lncRNA from 1 species